rnacentral:tRNA from 1 species
GGUCUCGUAGUACAGUCGUCAACUCGUACGACUUAAAAACAUAACCGUCAUGGGUUCAAUCCCCAAAUAGACCG